GUCAUUGCUAGAGUUCAUUUUCAUCGUGGCGAUUGCUGGAAGAAGACAACGAGACGUCGUCGAACACGGACGAGCGGGCCUGACCCUUCGCUGCCUGUAGAGAACAUGCGUCACCUGGUGCGGAUAAAAUCAUAUGGAGGCCACAAGAUAUUAUAUCAAGCAAAUG